rnacentral:lncRNA from 1 species
AUGAGGGCAGAUGGACGGUGGCCAGUGCAAGAGCCUGAUGAAGGAGGUGGUUGGUGCUAUGGGCUUUGGAUUGGCUGGUUUGCAGAUGGAAGGUGCACUUGCAGGAAUCUCCAGUCUGGCUUCCUUCUUGAGUUCGUAAUAGGUGACUCUGCCUUCCCGGAGCUCCAAACCUCGGUCAGAAGGGGAACCAGUCCGUUUACUCUUCACCAAGAGCUGCCACGCCGAGGUGCCAGCGAAACCGCUGCGCCGGCCUCAAGAGUCACACUGGCGACCCAUGUGGCUCCUCCAAACCUUGGUCAGAGGGGAACCAGUCCUGUUUACUCUGCACCAAGAACUGCCGUGCCAAGGUGCCAACGAAACCGCUGAGCCAGCCACAAGAGUCGUGCUGGCGACCCAUGGAGCUCCUCCACUGGGAAUCUUCUGCUCCGUGAGCGACCAAAAUUUGUCUGAAAGUGUGGCGUCCUCUCGUUGUCUGAGCUUUCACUGGGAGCUGCAAUCUCGAGAUGUUAGCGAUUGGCCAUCAUGGAUCGUUCCUCCAUUUGGAAUUUAUUAUUCACAUUGUGUACGACUUACUCACUUCUUAAAGGCCCCACUUAAUACUACCAUCCUGGCAAUUAAGUUUUAACAGGAAUUUUGGGAGACACAUUCCAGUUAUAGCAAUACUCUUCAUGAAAGAUCUGUGUACAUUUUGCUAGAUAUAUUCUCAGGGUUUUGUUGCUAUUGUGAAUAGAAUCUCUUUUCCUAUUACAUUUUCUAAUUUGUUAUUUCUGAUGUAUAGGAAUGCUAAUAGUUUUUUUAAAGAUGAUCUUGAAUUCAAAAACCUUGCAAACUCUGUUACUAGUCCAAAUAAUUUAUCAGAAUAUUCUUCUGGAUUUUCUGCAUAAAUAAUCACAUGGUCUGCAAAUACAGAUAGUUUUAUUCUUUCCAAUUAAAAAAUUUCAUUUUCUUCAUAUGUUUCUUUUUCUUUCUUUCUUUCUUUCUUUUCUUUUUUUUUUUUUUUUUUGGACAGAGUCUCACGUGGUCACCCAGGCUGGAGUGCAGUGGCACAAUCUUGGCUCACUGCAAACUCUGCCUCCUGGGUUCAGGAGAUUCUCCUGCCUCAG